rnacentral:rRNA from 1 species
GACGAACGCUGGCGGCGUGCUUAACACAUGCAAGUCGAACGCUGAAGCACCAGCUUGCUGGUGUGGAUGAGUGGCGAACGGGUGAGUAAUACGUGAGUAACCUGCCCUUGACUCUGGGAUAAGCCCGGGAAACUGGGUCUAAUACUGGAUGCUACAUGUCACCGCAUGGUGGUGUGUGGAAAGGGUUUACUGGUCUUGGAUGGGCUCACGGCCUAUCAGCUUGUUGGUGAGGUAAUGGCUCACCAAGGCGACGACGGGUAGCCGGCCUGAGAUGGUGACCGGCCACACUGGGACUGAGACACGGCCCAGACUCCUACGGGAGGCAGCAGUGGGGAAUAUUGCACAAUGGGCGAAAGCCUGAUGCAGCGACGCCGCGUGAGGGAUGACGGCCUUCGGGUUGUAAACCUCUUUCAGCAGGGAAGAAGCCACAAGUGACGGUACCUGCAGAAGAAGCGCCGGCUAACUACGUG